AUUGAACGCUGGCGGCAGGCCUAACACAUGCAAGUCGAGCGGAUGAGGGGUGCUUGCACCCUGAUUCAGCGGCGGACGGGUGAGUAAUGCCUAGGAAUCUGCCCGAUAGUGGGGGACAACGUUUCGAAAGGAACGCUAAUACCGCAUACGUCCUACGGGAGAAAGUGGGGGCUCUUCGGACCUCACGCUAUCGGAUGAGCCUAGGUCGGAUUAGCUAGUUGGUGGGGUAAAGGCUCACCAAGGCAACGAUCAGUAACUGGUCUGAGAGGAUGAUCAGUCACACUGGAACUGAGACACGGCCCAGACUCCUACGGGAGGCAGCAGUGGGGAAUAUUGGACAAUGGGCGAAAGCCUGAUCCAGCCAUGCCGCGUGUGUGAAGAAGGUCUUCGGAUUGUAAAGCACUUUAAGUCGGGAGGAAGGGCUGCAGGUUAAUACCUUGCAGCCUUGACGUUACCGACAGAAUAAGCACCGGCUAACUUCGUGCCAGCCGCCGCAGUAAUAC
rnacentral:rRNA from 1 species